rnacentral:lncRNA from 1 species
UCUGUAGUGACACCACACUCAUGAGCGAUCCUAAGAGCUUCAGAGACGGUGACGUUAAAAGAUGAAAGCAAAGUAGGGUCGUUAAAGAGGUUGCAAAGGCAAGUAAGUUGAGUUUCCACGGCUUGUUUGAUAGGAUUACAGCAAUCAUCCUGCGGUGGUGCAGUGGCGUUGUUAAGGUAAGGAGCACAAGGCACCAGGCUCUGCGCACAAGUCUCUUGCGCAACCGUGAACGUCGCCAUCAUCGUCCCUAAUAUC